rnacentral:hammerhead_ribozyme from 1 species
GCAUUACUGAGGAGUCCCAUAAUAAGACGAAACGGCCUUCCAGUGC